GCGAAACCGCGAAUGGCUCAUUAAAUCAGUUACGGUUCCUCGGAUCGUACACCGCUACUUGGACAACCGUGGCAAUCCUAGAGCUAAUACAUGCAUCAGAGCUCCGACCCCCACGGGAACGAGCGCUUUUAUUAGACCAAAACCGACCGGGCCUCGCGCCCGUCGAACGUGGUGACUCUGUAUAACUUUCGUUCCGAUCGCACGGGCUCGCCCCGGCGACGCAUCUCUCGAGUGUCUGCCUUAUCAACUGUCGAUGGUAGGCCACACGCCUACCAUGGUUGUAACGGGUGACGGGGAAUCAGGGUUCGAUUCCGGAGAGGGAGCCUGAGAAACGGCUACCACAUCCAAGGAAGGCAGCAGGCGCGCAAAUUACCCACUCCCGGCACGGGGAGGUAGUGACGAAAAAUAACGAUACGGGACUCUUUUGAGACCCCGUGAUUGGAAUGAGGACACUACAAAUCCUUUACCGACUAUCCAUCGGAGGGCAAGCCAAGUGCCAGCAGCCGCGGUAACUCUUGCUCCGAUAGCGUAUAUUAAAGUUGUUGCGGUUAAAAAGCUCGUAGUUGGAUCUGAGUCUUGGACGGGCGGACCGCCCAUCCGGCGGCCGCCGCCCCGGCCGGACAGGCAGGCCGGUUUCCCCUGGUGAUCUUCACCGGUUGUCUCGGGUGACCGGCGAUUUUACUUUGAAGAAAUUGGAGUGCUCAGAGCAGGCGAGGCGCCUGUAUAAUGGUGCAUGGAAUAAUGGAAUAGGACCCCGGUCCUGUUUUGUUGGUUUUCGGGACUCGAGGUGAUGACUAAGAGGGACAGACGGGGGCAUUCGUAUUGCGGCGCUAGAGGUGAAAUUCUUGGACCGUCGCAGGACGAACGACUGCGAAAGCAUUUGCCAAGAAUGUUUCCAUUAAUCAAGAACGAAAGUUAGAGGUUCGAAUGCGAUCAGAUACCGCCCUA
rnacentral:rRNA from 1 species